AUCCUUCGGGUCUGUGGUUGCAAGCCGAUGCCAGUCGCAGGCCAAGCGGUCCACGUAAUCCGGCCAAAGCGCCGGGGAGCAUGGUGCGGUUUAGAGGUAAGCCCGUCCGGAAUGCGGAAGCGUUUCGAGAGGAGUGCGUGAGGGCGCACGAUGCGUUGAGCAACCUCCCAGACGGCGAGUGUGGGGUCAAAGACCAGGUCAGCCGAAGGUU
rfam:Faecalibacterium sp. CAG:74 genomic scaffold, scf199